rnacentral:rRNA from 1 species
GUGCCAGCCGCCGCGGUAAUACAGAGGGUGCAAGCGUUGUUCGGAAUCACUGGGCGUAAAGCGCGCGCAGGCGGGACGACAAGUCGGGAGUGAAAUUCCGGGGCUCAACUCCGGACCUGCUUUCGAAACUGUCGACCUGGGGACCGGUAGGGGCUGGUGGAAUUCCCGGUGUAGCGGUGGAAUGCGUAGAUAUCGGGAAGAACACCCGUGGCGAAGGCGGCCAGCUGGGCCGGGUCCGACGCUGAGGCGCGAAAGCGUGGGGAGCAAACAGGAUUAGAAACCCGCGUAGUCC